CACUUUUAGGAGUAACAUGAUGUGAUUUCAUUUGUUAAUGAAUCUCAUUCUUACUAAUACAUGGAGAGUGGAUUGGAGGCCAGAGUGGAAGUAGAGACCAGUUGAAAAGGCAGUAAUAAUGUUUGGAGUUGGUCGGAGAAGACCCUUUCCCAUUCUCUUUUGCUCCAGACCUUCCCAAAACGCAACCACUCAAGUUUUACAGGGUAAUUUUGGAGAAUGUCCCAUGUAUCCAAGAAUGUGUUUUCUGCAGCUGCUGCAUAAAAUGUGUUGUAAGUAUUCUUGAGUCCAUUUUGUUCUAAAGUUCAGUUUAGAUCCAAAGUAUUUUGUUGAUAUUCUGCCUAGUUAACCUGUUUAUUGCUAAGAGCAGGGCAUUGAGGUCCCUAAUAUGACUGUGUAAAAGUAUAUAAAUCCCUUUUGAUCUAAUAAUAUUUGUUUUAUAUAUCUGGGUAAUCCAUUGUUGGAUGCAUACAUUUAGAAUUGUUAUAUUCUCCUGCUGAAUUUAUCCCUUUAUCAUUAUUUAAUGAAUUUAUUUGUCUCUUCUCACUCUUUUUGACUCAAAUCCUGUUUUAUGUGCUGCAACUCUAGCUACUUUUACUCACUUUUGGUUUCUAUUUCGUGGAAUAUUAUUUUCCAUUUCUUUAUUUUCAGUCUACUUGUGUCUUUUACAAGUGAAGUGAGUUUCUUAUAGCAUAUAUCUGGGUCUUCUUUUUUAAUCAUUUCAGCCAAUCUAUAUCUUCUAAUUGGUGAAUUUAAUCCAUUUAUACUGAAAGAUAUUAUUGAUGGGUGAGUACCUAUUCUUGUCAUUUUGUUAAUUGUUUCUAGUUGUUUUGCGUAUUCUUAGUUAAUUUAUUUAUCUCUUGUAUAUCAUUAGAGAUUGGUGGUUUUCUGUAGUAGUAACAUUUGAGUUCUUUCACUUUCUCAUUUCUGUGUCUUCUCCAUCAGUGUGUUUCAUGGUUAUGUUUACAUAAUGAUACAUUUUUUUCAUUCAUUACUAGAUGUAGGAGUCCCCUAAACAUUUAUUGUAGGGCUGAUCUAUUGGUGAUGCCUUCCUUCAUUUUUUUACUUACCUUUGAAAGACUUUAUUUCUUUUUCAUAUUUGAAGGAUAGCUUUGCUGGGUAAAGUAUUCUUGGCUGACACAGUUUAUGUUUCUUUCAGCAAUUUGAAUAUAUCACGACAUUCUCUCCUGUCCUGUAUACUUUCUGUUGAGAAAUCUGCUGUUAGUCUGAUGGAGCUUCCCUUGCAUGUGACCUGACACUUUUCUCUUGCUCUUAUUAGAAUUCUCCCUUUGUCUUUGACUUUUGACAAUUUGACUAUAAUAUACCUUAAAGAAGACCUUUUUGGGGUGAAUUUAUUUGGUGUUCUGUGAGCUUCCUGUAUCUGGAUUUCUGUAUUUACUCCAAUAUUGAAGACGUUUUCAGUUAUUAUUUUGUUUGAUUGAUUUUCUGUUCCUUUGCCAAUCUCUUUUCCUUCUCUGAUACCCCAAAUUUCAAUAUUUGGUCACCUUAUGUUGUCUCAUAUGUCACACAGGUUCUACUCUUUCUUUUUUAGCUUUUUGUUUGUUGAUUGGUUGGUUUUAUCUGACAAGGUUAUUUCAAAACACUUGUUUAAAGUUCAAAAAUUUUUUCUUCUGCUUAUUUAGUCUGUGAUUGAAGCCCUUGAUUGUAUUUUUUUCACUCAUUGAAUUUUUCAUUUCCAGGAUUUCUGUUUGGUUCUUUUUUAGAAUAUCCAUUUUGCUAGUGAAUUUCUUACUCAAAUCAUGAAUGGCUUUUCUCAUUUCUUUUAUAUUUUUCUAUGUUCUCUUAUAUUUCACUAUUCUUAAUAUUACUAAUUUGAAUUCCAUUUCAAACAUUUCACAGAUUUAUUUCCCAUUGGAAUCUGUUGCUGAAUAAUUAUUUUGUUCUCCUGAAGGUGUCAUAUUUCCUUGCUUUUUUAUGUUUGUUGUGUUUUUGAGAUAUCAGCACAUCUGGUUUAACAGUCAUUUCUUCCAGUUCUAUGGAUUGGCUUUCAUAGGGUAAGAUGUUUUCCUAUAGAUGUAUCUAUAUUAUUGUUUUGGUAGGGUGCUUUCACUUUGCUUCUCAGUGAAUGAGGUAGUGUUGUAUGCAUAUGCAUACAGUGUAGUGUAGCAGUGUUACAAUUUCUUCAGCUGUAAUCAGUGUUAGUGUUGUCUGUGAGUUCUUCAGUGGCUUAGGGUGUGGUUGUUAGUGGAGGCUAUGAUGAGGCUUUGCUGGGGAUGGGGACGCCAGGUGGGCCAAUCCUCAGGUCCCAGUGGUGGUGGCAGUGGACUGAGUGUGUUGGCUCUUGGGCCCCUGGACAUCAUACAAACAAACCAGUGGUAGCAGGUCCAGGCAGGUUAAUCCUUGGGCCUCCAGACAGCUUGCUCAGAUGCUGGCACUGGCAGUAGUGAGCCAGGUAGGUGGACAGAUCCUCAGGCCUCUGGAUGGAGUAUGUCAUAUCAGUGAUGGCAGUAGCAGUGGUGAGCUAACCUUUGGUCUCCCAGGUGACAUGCAUGGGCACCAGUGGUAAUAACAGCAAGCUGUACAGCCUGGUACCCAGGCCCCCAUGCAGGGUGUGUGCAUAUGGGUGGGUGCUGGCUGCGUUGGUUGUAGCAUGCUGGGCAAGCCCAUCAUGGAAAUUUGUCCCUGGAAGCAAGCAAGUCCCUGGAAGGCAUGCAUGAGUGUUAGCAGUGGUGGCUGAUGUUGGUCAUUCCCUAGGUCCCUGGAAGAUGAAUGUGGGUACUAGCAGAGGGGGAAGAAGCAGGGCAGAGCUGUCAUCAGGCUCUUUUUUUAUUUGUUUGUUUUUGAGAUGGAGUCUCACUCUGUCACACAGGCUGAAGUGUGGUGGUGCAAUCUCAGCUCACUGCAACCUCUGCCUCCUGGGUUCAAGCUAUACUAUUGCCUCAGCCUCCCAAGGAGCUGGGAUUACAGGCACCCACUACCACGCCCAACUUUUGUAUUUUUAGUAGAGAUGUGGUUUCGCCAUGUUGGCCAGGGUGGCCUCGAACUCCUGACCUCAGGUGAUCCACCCACUUCGGCCUUCCAAAAUGCUGGGAUUACAGGUGUGAGCCAUCGUGCCUGGCCUCAUCAGGCUCCUUGAUGGUUCACGGGUGCAGGCCUCAACAGACAGCACGGGUCAAUACUCAGGCCCCUGGUAAUGUAUGCAGGCAACAUCACACAGGGAAGUCCCAUAACUGGUGUGUUAUAACUAGUAGCAGCAGGCAGGGAGAGUAAAUUCCCAGGCUACUAGAUGACAUGUACAAAGACUGGUAGGGGCAGUGCCAAGUGGGGUGUGUGUUUCCUCAGACUCCUGUACGGUGCAAUUGACCACUGGUGAUGAAUGGGUUUGCCUGCACGGGUCCACAAUGACAACCAGAACAGGUCAGUCACCAGACUCUCAGACAUUAUGCACAGUCCCUGGAGAGAGGGGUAGUGGGUGGGGCAGGCCUGUCCUCAGGCCCCUGAUGGUGCACAUGAACACAGGCUGUGGUGGGUAGAGUGGGUGGAUCCCCUACCCCCUGGACUACAUAUGCAGGCACUUCUGGAGGUGGUGAUAGUCCACCUGAUGGUGUGUGUGAGCACCAACUGUAGCAAGUGGGUGGAUUGAUCCCCAGACCCCUAGGUGGCAUGGUGGCAGUAAUGGCAGUGGGCAUGGAAGACAUGUCUUUAGGCCUAGAAGGGCACCUGGGUGGACUAGUCCCCAGGCCUUAGGAGGGUUGCCGUCAGUGCCAGUGGCCCCAGGAAGGUAGCUCUCAGGCUCUGAAGACAAUAUGCUUCAGUUCCCUUUGUCCCAGGGACAGGCUCCCCAGUUCACUUCAUUAACCAUUUCCUGGGAUGUAGGACACUACAUAGAUUGCAGUGCUGGGGACCUGGCAGCACUGCUAGGUCCAGCUGUUGUCAUAAUGUUGCAGCCUUCUAGGUGGACAUAAGGGGAUGUUAGUGAGUCUCCAGGGAUUUGGAGAUGCAGAGGCUGUUAGGCCCAAGGGCAGGAUGUAGUCCGGUGGCGGCUGUGCUCUCAAAAUAUCACAAUGCUGCAGCUGUUUUUGGUCUCAGUUGGUGUUUGGAACCUAGUGCAGACUCCCUCUCUGGACCAAUAUCAUCAUGUGAACUCUGUACAGCUCCCAGUACUAGUCUCAGGGCCCAUGAGAGCCAAGGGGCUCUCCCAUGGCUAGGAUUGCAGCACAGUAGGAAUGUGGAACACUGGUGACUUCUCACUUACAUUCUUCCCACACUAGGUAGUUUCUCCUGUCUCUGACCAAUUCCAGCUGGGCUGGUUGCUUUGCUUCUGCCCCCUUCUGUGCCUUAGAGGUACUUUGCCACUUCCCUGCUGAAUUAUUGUGUUCUCUCUUAGAUAAUCUAUUCGGUGUAUGAUUAUCUAUUUGCUGUUUUGCUCCUUUUUUCGGGAGGAGGCAAGUGCCAGGUGCCUCUAAUCAGCCAUCUUGAAGCCCCCUCCUACUGUCACAGUUUGAGACAUUCUAAAUUUGCAACAAAUUGAAUAAAACUUUUUUUUACUUUUUAGAAAAAUAUUUGAUACCCUUUAAAUUAUAGUAUUAGCACAUUUGACAUAUAAUUCAGUUUCCUAAACAAUGGAUCAUAGUCAAUAUUAUAAAAUAUUCCAAAAUAUCAAAGCAUCAAAGCACCUCAAAAAAAAAUCUGAGGUGUAAUAGGCAUCCAAAUUUUGCUUGUGUCACCUUCAUUCCUUCUUGCAUGUAGCAUUAGAAAACUACACAUUUUUAACAGCAAUUCUUGAAUUUUGGUCUCUGAUAUUGUUUGGUUCUGUGUCCCCACUCAAAUCUCAUUUGUGGCUCCCAUAAUUCCCAUGUGUUGUUGGAGGGACCUGGUGGGAGAUGAUUGAAUCAUGGCGUUGUGUCUUCCCUGUGUUGUUCUCGUGAUAGUGAAUGGGUCUCAGGAGAUCUGGUGGUUUUAAAAACGGAAGUUUCCCUGGACAAACUCUCUCUUUGCCUGCUGCCAUCCACGUAAGAUGUGACUGGCUUUUCCUUGCUUUCCAUCAUGAUUGCGAGGCCUCCCCAGCCAUGUGGAACAGUAAGUCCAAUAAACUCUUUAUUUUGUAAAUUGCCCAGUCUCGGGUAUGUUUUUAUCAGCAGCAUGAAAUGGACUAAUACAGUCUUAUUUUCCAUAUGUAUAAUUGCUUCUCCUAUUAUAUUCAAAAUUCUCAAAGUUUUCAAUCAAAAUUAAGACCCCUGCUUAGGAAAAAAACCAUUGUGUAUUAAUAGCUCUUAUAAAAGCAGGAGAAGUUUUAAAACAUUGAUUUAUAUCUAAAAGAAAAAACAAAAUUUGAUAAAUUUUUAUCUUCCCUGUUGUGUUUUUUUCUGUCAAAAAGUCUAUCGAAAUGGUACCCUUAUUGAAAGAACAUUACUGUUUGUGACUAUGCAAGCACUUUGGAGAUUAUUAAGAAUUAUCCAUCUACUUUGAAUGUGAAAAUAUCCUGAAUUUGCUAUAAUCAAGCACUGUGGGAACUAAAUAUGGUGCAAGUCACAGAAAACACUAAAGACAAAAUUAUGGCAUAUUAACCAUUUUUCUUAAGAGGGUCAAAUAUGUAGUAACAAGGUUCCUUUUUUUCCCCAAAGAUAAAAUAGUAGAGUAGAUGAAAAGAAAAUAAUAACCCUAAUAGGUUUUAGUAAUGUGAAUCUUUGCCAAAAGAACAAAGACAAGAUUGGACAAUAAAGGGCUGAAUUGAAAUCAGUCCCCAAAUUUUUGUAAGUGGCAUGGUUCCAUUCUCAUGGCCAUUCAGACAACCCUCAUAUUUUUGUACCUCAGAAAAAAAAUAUGUGUUUUUAAAUGAGGAGUCCUCAUUUUCUAUUAAAUUGUGUAAGUUCUCUCAGAAUAACAGUGCUUAAUGCACAUAUUACUGCACUAUCAAUUAUUUAGCCUUUAAAACUUACUGUAACUGUUUAAAUGUAUCUUACUUUACAGCAUAAGAAACUGUAUGAGAAAAGUGAGUUAUUACACAAACUAACAUAGCAAUGAGUGAGUUUCAGGCCCAAAGAAAUCUGCAAACCUCUUAGCCAGAUGUGCGUAGUGAGUAAAUCGUAUUAUAUUUUCAUCAAAGGACUGGGAAAUUUUUAACAGUGAACAGAACGUUGGCUGUUUAUACUGCUCAUUAGGAAACAAUGGCUAAUGCCCCAGCCAGAAGAAUAUCCAGUUGAUCAAUAUGACUUAGUAUAAUGUGGGAAUAAAGUGUCAAACCAUGCAUGUCAUUUUAGCUAGAGGGAUAUUCCACAAUCUAAUGAAACAAGGCUAUAAACAUCAAACUAGGACUUAGAAACAUUUCUAUUAUAAAAUAAUUAAAAAUUUAAAUUAAAUGUAUGUUAUAAAAACUCAAGGACACAAGAAAAUGAUUACAGAAUGUAGCUUUCUUUUAACUUAUUUCUAUUUUAACAUUUUACAAACUUACAAAUAGGCAAAGCUUACUGAGAUUAUUUAGAUCACGUAACAAGAGACCCUUAAAGAGUGUUCAUUAUUUAUUUCCAAAUAAAAGGCUACAGUAGUAAUCUACAGGUGAAUGAAGUUAGAUUAAUAUUUAAAUGUUUUCUUAACAUAUCCCAUAGCCUUAUUCCAAUAUUGCCCUUGGUGAAUAUGCUUUGCACAUGAUUAACUGCCUGAAAAGUAAAAGAAGGACAAAAAAUACAAAGAAAUCCCUUGCCAAAACACACUGUUGUAUUGAUCUCUAUGACUCCUCUUAUGCCUAUCUUUGAAUAAGCAUUACUAUAAUCAGUAUCACAUACAAUUUUGUGUUUAGUUUUCAUUUUCUGAUUAUAGACUUCCUCUUUUACUAUUUACUUAUAGAUAUUUAACACUUUAAACAUAAUAUACUAUUUUAACAAUAUACCAAGAAUUAUUAAUGGUCCAGGAAGUUUUUCUUCAAUCUUUUUUAUCUCUCUUAUGACACAUAAACAUAUUGCUAUUUUUAAAAACAUUUUACUUCCUUCAUAGCUCUCUCAGAUAUGCCUUGUUCUAUUCAUCCAAAUCCCCAUAGCCCCCACUGCCUCUAAUUGGGGCUUACCACUAUCUCUCACCUAGACUAUUACAAGAGUUCUUUAUUUGAAUUUUUUUAAUAUCCAAUUUAGGUCAGCCUCUCAAGUCUAUCCCUUGCACAGCUACUAGAGGGAAGUGCCUAUUUCAUAACAUCUAAAAUGCCAUAGAUUACAAAUCACCCCAUUAAUUAUGAAGCACCAAUAACAUGAAAUACAAGCUGCCAACUAAACUACCAUACAAUCUAUUCUAAUCAUCUAGAAUGUUUAUUUAUACUUACUGAGAUAUUUUAACUUAGUUAAUACGUUACACAUAUUUUAUCAUAGUUCACUCUUGCGUAUAAAAAUUCAUUAAAAACAAUUGCUUACAUACUUUCUAUAUCAUCUUCAUAUUUACAGUACAACUCUUCUGAGUCCUUUUUUA
rnacentral:lncRNA from 1 species